AUUGAACGCUGGCGGCAUGCUUUACACAUGCAAGUCGAACGGCAGCGCGGGCUUCGGCCUGGCGGCGAGUGGCGAACGGGUGAGUAAUGCAUCGGAACGUGCCCAGUAGUGGGGGAUAGCCCGGCGAAAGCCGGAUUAAUACCGCAUACGACCUGAGGGUGAAAGCGGGGGACCGAAAGGCCUCGCGCUAUUGGAGCGGCCGAUGUCGGAUUAGCUAGUUGGUGGGGUAAAGGCUUACCAAGGCGACGAUCCGUAGCUGGUCUGAGAGGACGACCAGCCACACUGGGACUGAGACACGGCCCAGACUCCUACGGGAGGCAGCAGGGGGGAAUUUUGGACAAGGGGGGCAACCCUGAUCCAGCCAUGCCGCGUGCGGGAAGAAGGCCUGCGGGUUGUAAACCGCUUUUGUUCGGGAAGAAAUCCUCUGGGCUAAUACCCCGGGGGGAGGACGGUACCGGAAGAAUAAGCACCGGCGAACUACGG
rnacentral:rRNA from 1 species